rfam:Felis catus isolate Cinnamon breed Abyssinian chromosome F1, whole genome shotgun sequence.
GCCUGGGUGGCUCAGUCGGUUAAGCAUCUGACUUCGGCUCAGAUCAUGAUCUCAGGGCUCGUGAGUUCGAGCCCCGUGUCGGGCU